CCUACGGGGAGCUGCAGUGGGGAAUUUUGGACAAUGGGCGCAAGCCUGAUCCAGCUAUUCCGCGUGUGGGAAGACGGCCUUCGGGUUGUAAACCACCUUUGUUGAGAACGAAAAGUCUAUUGAUUAUACCGAUAGAUGAUAACGGUAUUCUAAGAAUAAGCACCGGCUAACUACGUGCCAGCAGCCGCGGUAAUACGUAGGGUGCGUGCGUUAAUCGGAAUUACUGGGCGUAAAGGGUGUGCAGGCGGUUUUGCAAGAUGGAUGUGAAAGCCCCGGGCUUAACCUGGGAAAGCCAUACAGGACUGCAAGACGUGAGUGCGUCAGAGGAGGGUGGAAUUCCAGGUGUAGCAGUGAAAUGCGUAGAUAUUUGGAAGAACACCGAUGGCGAAGGCAGCCCCCUGGGACGCAACUGACGCUCAUGCACGAAAGCGUGGGGAGCAAACAGGAUUAGAUACCCGUGUAGUC
rnacentral:rRNA from 1 species